CAUGCACACAGACACGCACACACAUGCACACAGAUGCAUGCACGCAUGCACUCACACACAUGCUCACUCACUCUCAGGCACACAAGCCAGAAAGGACUGAUUAGAGACAAGGGAGGGACAGUUGUCUGAGCCACCUGAGAACAGCCCUGUAUGCCCCGUGUGGCGCCUUGAAAGCCGUUCACUCAGAUCUCCCAAGUGUAAGGCUGCUGUUUGGGUCAAGAAAAUAAACUAUCAAACAAUGUCAUAGACGGUUGUGUCUGUGACUCUGGUCUAGCCAGACAUUUGGGAAAUGAAUGUCAUCCAUCCCACCUGAGGCAGGGCGAGGGUAGAGGGUGGCCCGGCGCUGCCCGAGGCCGAGGCAGGUCCCGCUGGGAGAAACACUGGCAGUCAGCCAGGCAUCAGUCUUCCCAUGGAGCUGCCGUUCUGCCAAGUUCCUGAGGCCUGGGUACUAUCUGCCUGUCUGUCAGUGCAGGUAAGAGGGACAGGCUUCAGGCCUUGGUGCCGAGUAGUUGGAUGAAAACACAAAAAGCCACAGCAGUGGCUGCCACAGUGACACGGUUGCUCACUGCGGGCUGCACCAGGUGCUACCCAUCUCUGUGACUUCAUGUCAUCCCCCAACAACCUGUGAUAGGGGCACUGCUACUCCCAUUUUACAGAAGAGGAAACUAAGUCACAGAGAGCCAAAUAAUUUGCACUGUAGUCUCAGCUUGGAAAGGAAGAGAAACACUCGCAGCAGUCGGGAAACUACCCUUUUCCUAAAUCUCAGGGAAGUAUACUUGGCCACAUCCCGCGUGGCAGUGUUUUCAAAGGGAAGCCCACACACACGGAUUUGUUCUGACCUUUGGAGCCCUUGGUUAAGCCAAACACAAGCUCAGUGAUGGUGGGUGUGAGUGGAGGUCCCCCCACAGAACAGAAGUCCAGAGCAUCAGUGAGCUACUGCUGCUUUCCUCACCUGCUGCACCCGACCCCUUCCCCCAGCAGCCCACCUGCCUGUCCUGGGCCUCUUCGCUGGCUUAGAGGUUGAUUUCCAAGAGCAAAAGGACUUCAUUAGCCACACCACGGAGGUCAGGAGCAUGGCUGUCACCUCUAAUUUGCCCGAACCCCAGUGACAACCUCAGCUGAUUGGUUGAUUCCAGGUACAAGGUGACAUCUGUGGGCCCCAUCUUAGCGGAACCGGGAGAGUGGGGCCCAGACCCCAGGGGCCAGCUUCUGCCUUCCUUUUGGUGGAGGUAUGCAGAGCUCCCGUGUGUGCCUGGCCCAUGCCAGGCUCUGCUCAGGCAGUGAAGCGCAUCUGCCUCCAGCCUCUCGCCUAUCUCAGGGACGAAGGGAACUGAAUAAAUCUGGGCCUCCCUGCCCCGCCAGGCUCCACUGGAGCCCUGGGAGACAACUGCCCUGGUUCCGCUCAGCUUGCAGCUCCCUCCCAGGGCCUCCUGACAGGGCCCUGGCCUGCACAUGGGAAGAAAUGGGCAGGCCCCCCGCCUUGGUUGCCCCUGGGGUGACAGGAGAUCCAGGCAAAGCAGGCAGCCCACCCCACACCUAAGCUCUGACCACAGACCCGGUGAGCCUGAGGAAGGACUGAGAUUCCAGCCGAGGUGGGAGAAACUGAGGCACAAAUGCAGAGGCCAAGAAAGCAGGGCCCUGAGGAUAUGUGACAGGGAGGCCUGGUGAGGGAGAGACAUAGAUGGAGGCCCAGAGAUGCAGGUCCUGGAGAGUGAGAGGAGCUGGCAAGACAGGAAGAGGAACCCAGAGACACUGCAGAAGGCUCUGAGCACACGGAGACGCAGACCCGGGGAAGGAAAUGAGACAAGAAAUUCACAGGCAGAGGGAGACUUUAGAAACAUCAGUAAGAGGCCGGGCACCGUGGCUCAUGCCUGUGAUCCCAGCACUUUGGGAGGCCAAGGCAGGCAGAUCACUCGAGCCCAGGGGUUCGAAGCCAGCCUGGACAACAUUGCGAGACCCUGUCUCUGUAUUAAAAAACUCAGCAAGAGAGGCAUAAAGAGAUGAAGUGAACGAACCACGAAGGCCCAGAGACACACACAGAGAGAGGGCUGGAGUCAGGAGCACCCAAGAGCACAUCCUGCACCCAGCAAAGUUGCGGGCACUUGCCACGUUUCGUCUCUCAUGUGUCCUGACCGUACAGACCACACCCAGACCAGGCCCUUGUGCACCUGUGCCUGGAGCCUUUCUCCUGAGCAAACACUACUGUCCUGGCCCCAGAGGAGUCAACUGCCUGGCCUUUGCUUGUCCUGUUCUCUGUUCAGGAUGCCUGGCGCGCCCCAGCCCAGCUUUCAUAUCUGUCUAAAUUAUGCACAUCCUUAGAUUCCACCUCUUCCAGGAAGCCCUCUCUGACUGGCCCUCUCCCUGAAGAAUCCCCCACCCUUCAUCAGCCUAUCACGUUCCCUCUGCAGGGAGCUGUUCUUAUCUUCCAUCCUUCCACCUUUCAUUCUAUCCGGAGCUCCUCAAGCAAGGGCAGGGACCACAAGAUUCCAGCGCUGGUGACCACGUCUCUACUGACUUGCGGAUUUGUCUUCAUUGCCUGGUGCCUCCUGUCUCUGGACCUGAAGGAGGGAGUAAAUGAAAAUUGAUGGAAAAUGAAUAAGCAGGUGCAGGAUGGCCUCCUCCACUCCCCAAACCUGGAUUCCCAGCCCUGUCUGUGCCGUCCACUCUCGUGCCUGGGGCUGCCCCCGGGGGCCUUUCCUGGCAGCCUAGAAGGAAGGCUCCCCAGGUACCAUGGCCUCACUAGCCCUCCGGGGUAGUCCUGGGGCUGUCAGGGGUGGUCAGGUUGCUCGCCAGCAAAGGGCUGGAAGUGUGCCCACAUCUUCUGGCUCCAGGGUCCCUGAGUGAGGGAGGGGUGGUCUCUGAGCCUCUUCUGGCUACCAGUGGGCCCCUCCAUAAGAGGACAGGCUCUCCGGGCCUUGGAACCCCCUUCUCCCUAUCCAGAUCCCAAUUCUCCAGGGCCCUGCAGGAAGUUUCAAACCAAAGAGAGAGCUUGUUUCCCUCAGCCCCGCACCCUGGCCUGCAGGUGGGUUUGGAAGAAGGGCAGGCCCUGUGUGAACGGAGCACUCUCCCCACGGCCCACCAGCCUCCUGCAGCCCUUCCCCAUUCAUCUGUUUUUUGCCCAGGCUAAGGCCACCAGCAUCCCCCUUAGAGUGUCCCUCAGGGUUGAGGCUGGGAGAGGCACCUGGCACCCCUGAGAUUCCUCCAUCAUGGCCCAGAAAGGCUGACUGUUUGCCUAGCGCUCAUCCUGGUGGAAACCUCAGCUCUGUGGGGGAGAUGGAGGUGGCAGAUGGGGCUUUGGGGGCUCCUUUCCCACUGUAGCCACCCCUUGCCCUGGCCGGCCCUGCUCUUUGUAUGGUGCAGUUUCCGGCCCUGGGUAGGGUUUUCAGGAAAACAGUCAGCAAGCAUUUCCUGAGUACCCGCUUUGCUCAAAGCCUGGCGGUCAGGCCGAGGGAAGAGACGCGUGCAUUCAGGGAUGGCCGUGCCCUCGGGUGGUGCCUGAAUCCAUUGAGGUCAAGGCAGGCAUUGGUAGGAAAAGAAACGCAAGCCAGACAGCGUCCUGUGGGAGAGGUGGGAGGUCCUGUCUCCCGGGCUCCUUUCCCUGGGGCUGAGGAGACUUUUCAGUGGAGGUAGGAUUUGAAUGGGUUCCUGGAGGGGGUGGAUUAGAUUCUAAUUUGUGAAAAUGCUUGUAGGCUUGUGUAGCCUUUUAAAUUCCCAAA